GGAUGUGAGGGCAAUCUGCCUAUGAUAUCUGUCACUCCAUUGAUCACCAGGGUUGAUUUGGCUGAUCUGGCUGAUUAGGCAGGUGUCCCCUUCCUCCUUCACUACUCUAUUUCAUCCCUCCUGAAGCUAUGCAUUUGGUCAAAGAGGACAACCACCCUGGGUAGAGGAGGACCAUUUCCUCCAUCAAGGGUAUAUAAGUGGCUGAGUUCUCCUGCUAGAAACUCCAAACAAGCUCUCAAAAGAACAAUCCUUUUAACCAGACCAUAGCUUCUCCAGGCAUACAGAGACAUGGUAAAUAUCCUACAGAAGAUUGGCAACUUGACUUUACUU
rnacentral:snRNA from 1 species